rnacentral:lncRNA from 10 species
GAAGACCUGAAAGGAGAGUCACCAAAAGGAGAAAAACAAUGUCCCCAAGAGUCCACCUCCAAGAGAACAAGCAACUUCCUAGCAGAUGCUGAGGCUUGCAAGACUAAUCUGGGCUUGGAAGUGUUAAAAGAAAAGAUUUUAAUUUAAAAAGCAAAGAAAGGGCCGGGCUCAGUGGCUCAUGCCUGUAAUCCCACCACAUUGGAAGCCAAGGCAGGCAGACUGCUUAAAGCCAGGAGUUUGAGACCAGCUUGACCAACAUGGCGAAACCCCGUCUCUACUAAAAAUUGGCUGGGCAUGGUGGCCUGUCCAUGUGGUCCCAGCUACUUGGGAGGCUGAGAUGGGAGAAUCACUUGAACUGGGGACCCAGAGGUUGCAGUGACUUGAGAUCGCACCACUGCACUUCAGCCUAGGCAACAGAGCAAGACUGUCUCAAAAUAAAAUAAAAUAAAAAGCAAAGAAAGUCCUUGAACCCAUUGGAAACAUCUUUCAAGGAGCAUGAAACCAACCCUUUUAUCACGUAACAAGUAUUAAUGGAAAGACAUGAGACGUUGCAAAGUAUUACUAGAUGCUGGAGUCUAGAGAUUAUCUAUUUGACAUUUAGGCAGAGAGCAAGGAAAAAACACAAAGUACUAAGGAAGCAGGGAGCCUCUCUAAAUGCUGAUAAGACGAUGAACUGCGUUAGUCGGGGAACACUUUGGGAGACUGAGGUGGGUGGAUCAUUUGAGGCCAGGAGUUCAAGACCAGCCUGGUUAACAUGGGGAAACCCAUCUCUACUAAAAAUAUCUCUCAAGGCAGCCUCUUGGUGAGCGAAAGUUCUGAGGCAACCCGGUGGAGGGUUAGAGUUCCCCGAUGGGCAGGCUUUGGUUUGCAAAUCAACUGGUAACCCUCAAGAAGAGAUCCGUCUAGGAGAACAUAUAAUUAGAUGAACUUGCCUUGUAGGCAUCUGCUGAACUGCGAGGUAAAAGGUUAUAUUUGCAUGUCUAAAGGAAUGAGUAGGAAGUGGGAAACUGGGGAACCGGGGAGUGAGAAAAGAAGAGAGAAAAAAAUAAUUAAACCAUCUCUUAGAAAAACGGGG